rnacentral:rRNA from 1 species
GACGUAGGGGGCCAGCGUUGUUCGGAAUUACUGGGCGUAAAGGGUUCGUAGGCGGUGUGGCAAGUCGGGGGUGAAAUCUCUGGGCUCAACCCAGAGACUGCUUCCGAAACUGCUGUGCUUGAGUGUGAGGGAGGCUCGUGGAAUUGCAGGUGUAGCGGUGAAAUGCGUAGAUAUCUGCAGGAACACCCGUGGCGAAAGCGGCGAGCUGGAUCACUACUGACGCUGAGGAACGAAAGCUGGGGGAGCGAACGGG